UCGGGCCGCGGCGGGAGGGAGGAUGCUCCAGCCCGAGUCCCGAGAGGCCGGGGUGCUGCGCUGACGGCGUCGGGGAAAUUGAAAAUGGCCCUUCAGCAAUGCUAGGUCUAUAAUGGGAAGUGUCACAGUUCGAUAUUUCUGUUAUGGAUGCCUUUUUACAUCUGCAGCCUGGACGCUUUUGCUUUUUAUUUAUUUCAACUUCAGUGAAGUGACUCAGCCACUUAAGAAUGUGCCCAUCAAGGGGUCUGGGCCCCACGGACCAUUCCCCAAAAAAUUUUAUCCCCGUUUCACUAGAGGCCCAAGUCAAGUAUUAGAAUCACAAUUCAAAGCAAACAAAAUUGAUGAUGUGAUAGAUAAUCACGUUGAAGAUCCAAAAAGAGGCAAUGUGAAAUUCUCUUCUGAAUUGGGUAUGAUUUUUAAUGAACGUGAUCAGGAGUUGAGAGACUUGGGGUAUCAGAAACAUGCCUUCAAUAUGCUUAUUAGUAACCGCUUGGGCUACCACAGAGAUGUGCCAGAUACGAGGAAUGCAGCAUGUAAAGACAAGUCCUACCCGGCGGAUCUGCCCGUUGCUAGUAUUGUAAUUUGUUUCUACAAUGAAGCUUUGUCUGCCUUGCUGCGGACGGUGCACAGCGUCCUGGACCGCACGCCCGCCCGGCUUCUUCAUGAAGUCAUCCUCGUGGACGAUGACAGUGACUUCGAUGAUUUGAAAGGAGAACUAGAUGAAUACAUCCAAAAAUACCUCCCUGGAAAAAUCAAAGUGAUAAGAAAUCCAAAGCGCGAGGGCUUGAUUCGAGGAAGAAUGAUUGGAGCGGCCCACGCCACAGGAGAAGUCCUGGUGUUCCUGGACAGCCACUGCGAGGUGAACGUGCUGUGGCUGCAGCCCUUGCUGGCCGCCAUCCAGGAGGACCGGCGGACGGUGGUGUGCCCGGUGAUCGACAUCAUCAGCGCCGACACCCUGGCCUACAGCUCGUCCCCUGUGGUGCGGGGGGGCUUCAACUGGGGGCUGCACUUCAAGUGGGACCUCGUCCCACUCUCCGAGCUCGGGGGACCGGAGGGAGCGACUGCACCAAUAAAGUCACCUACAAUGGCUGGAGGAUUGUUUGCCAUGAACAGAAACUAUUUCAAUGAACUUGGACAGUAUGACAGUGGCAUGGAUAUCUGGGGAGGAGAAAAUUUAGAAAUAUCUUUUCGGAUCUGGAUGUGUGGAGGUAAGCUGUUCAUCAUCCCUUGCUCUAGAGUUGGACACAUUUUCCGGAAAAGGCGGCCGUAUGGGUCCCCCGAGGGCCAGGACACUAUGACGCAUAACUCCCUGCGGCUGGCACACGUGUGGCNAGAUUGUGAGUUUCCAUUGGAUAGGAAAAAAAAUUAA